rnacentral:tRNA from 1 species
GCGAGGGCGGCGAGCGGCACGUCGACGGGCUUGACCAGCCCGGGCGCGGCGCCGGUGCCGCCCGCGGCGGGUCCCGUACCCCCCGUCGCCCC